CUUUAAUACAUAAGUAUGCAAGGGAAACGCUUUAGUGCUUAAGGAUGGGUCUGUAUGGUAUCAGCUUGUUGGUGAGGUAAUGGCUCACCAAGGCUAUGACGCCUAACUGGUUUGAGAGGAUGAUCAGUCACACUGGAACUGAGACACGGUCCAGACUCCUACGGGAGGCAGCAGUGGGGAAUAUUGCACAAUGGACGAAAGUCUGAUGCAGCAACGCCGCGUGGAGGAUGACACAUUUCGGUGCGUAAACUCCUUUUAUAUAGGAAGAUAAUGACGGUACUAUAUGAAUAAGCACCGGCUAACUCCGUGCC
rnacentral:rRNA from 1 species